AACGAACGCUGGCGGCAUGCCUAACACAUGCAAGUCGAACGAGACCUUCGGGUCUAGUGGCGCACGGGUGCGUAACGCGUGGGAACCUGCCCUUAGGUUCGGAAUAACUCCCCGAAAGGGGUGCUAAUACCGGAUAAUGUCUUCGGACCAAAGAUUUAUCGCCUUUGGAUGGGCCCGCGUUGGAUUAGCUAGUUGGUAGGGUAAAAGCCUACCAAGGCGACGAUCCAUAGCUGGUCUGAGAGGAUGAUCAGCCACACUGGGACUGAGACACGGCCCAGACCCCCGGGGGAGGAGGCGUGGGGGAAAUUUGGAAAGGGGGCGAAAGCCUGAUCCAGCAUGGCCCGGGGGGUGAUGAAGGCCUUGGGGUUUUAAAGCUCUUUUCCCCGGGAUGAAAAUGACAGUACCGGGAAAAUAAGCCCCGGCAACCCCCGG
rnacentral:rRNA from 1 species